AUUGAACGCUGGCGGCAGGCCUAACACACGCAAGUCGAGCGAGCGGCGGACGGGUGAGUAAUGUCUGGGAAACUGCCUGAUGGAGGGGGAUAACUACUGGAAACGGUAGCUAAUACCGCAUAACAUCAGAUGUGCCCAGGUGGGCUUGGCUAGUAGGUGUGGUAACGGCUCAGCUAGGCGACGAUCCCUAGCUGGUCUGAGAGGAUGACCAGACACACUGGAACGUAGCACAGGUCCAGACGCCUACGGAAGGCGGCAAUGGGGAAGAUUGCACAAUGGGCGCAAACCUGAUGCAGCCAUGCCGCGGGUGUGAAGAAGGCCUUCGGGUUGUAGAGCACUGUCAGCGGGGAGGCGUUACCCGCAGAAGAAGGACCGGCUAAAGCCGAGCCAGCAGCCGCGGUAAUAC
rnacentral:rRNA from 1 species